GAUGAACGCUGGCGGCGUGCUUAACACAUGCAAGUCGAACGAUGAAGCCCAGCUUGCUGGGUUGAUUAGUGGCGAACGGGUGAGUAACACGUGCGUAACCUGCCCUUAACUCUGGGUUAAGCCUGGGAAACUGGGUCUAAUACCGGAUAGGAGCGUCCACCGCAUGGUGGGUGUUGGAAAGAUUUAUCGGUUUUGGAUGGACUCGCGGCCUAUCCGCUUGUUGGUGAGGUAAUGGCUCACCAAGGCGAAGACGGGUAGCCGGCCUGAGAGGGUGACCGGCCACAAUGGGACUGAGACACGGCCCAGAAUCCUACGGGAGGCAGCAGUGGGGAAUAUUGCACAAUGGGCGCAAGCCUGAUGCAGCGACGCCGCGUGAGGGAUGACGGCCUUCGGGUUGUAAACCUCUUUCAGUAGGGAAGAAGCGAAAGUGACGGUACCUGCAGAAGAAGCACCGGCUAACUACGUG
rnacentral:rRNA from 1 species